UCUCCUCCCCGGGGCCCGGGGCCCGAGCGCUGCUGAGGUGGCCCUUCGGUUCCAAGAGUGUUCUUCUUUGCCGGCUAAACACGGCGUCUGGGCGGCGAUGGCCUGUCGGGUGGCGUGUUCUUAUCCUCCGACGCGUGCUCCUCGUAUUUCCAGUCUCCGAGCCUCUGAGCCUGGGCAGCCCCCCAGCUUGCAAGCGCUCCGUGGGCGCCCACGCAGGUGGCACCUGCGCUGGAAUUUGACAAGGAAGCCAAGUGAAGAAAGUUGAACCCGCAUGGAGAGAGGAGCCUUGGGGUUCCCUCUUCCCUCUGCUUGAUCCCAGUGAGAUGGGGCGGCUCUGCCUCCUACCCCGAGGCUCAUCUGACUGUGCGGACACAGAGGCCGGACCCCGAGGCCAUAGCCCUCUCAGCUCACCCCUGCACGGCUUUGAAGCCUUGAUGUGGCCUGGAAAAACAAACCAAAAAACCAAAACCAAAGGUAUUUCUGAUGCUUGAGUUGAGCGGACACUGAGAUGUGUCAGCCAGCCCUGAUCUUGGCAAAUACAGUUUCGAAUGGUAUGUCCUUCCCUUUCUAGAGCCACGGCAGUUCAGCGCUAUCAUUCUUCCUCACAGUGAUGGUGUUUAACUUACUAAAGAAUGACCAGGCAAUACUCUUUGAAAAUUGGAGACCAUUUGCAGCUGCUCUCUGUUGAGGAAAGUGAAUAAUAGGGUGCCCUCAAGGAAUUUCGAAGGUAUCACUCAACAGAAACUUUUGUGUCUGAAGAAAACUAGAUCAUUUUAUCAUGAGCUUAUAUGUAUUUCUUUAUAUUGAGAUAUAUAAUGAACUGACGAAUAAAAAUCUAGAGAGUCUGGAAGUUUCCCUUGCCCUUGACCAGGAACAAGCUGUGGACGCCUUUAAGAUCUGUGCCGAUGCAGGUACUGUUCCCCAGGUGAGGCCCAUGUAUUUGCACUUGCUCUUGAUGGCUUUAUUGGGGGUUCUUGGCUAUACGUUCAGAAAAAGGGAUUUCUACUUAGCAUUGACAAGCUAAACCAAAAGUAGAAUAUAUUCAUCAAUUGUUUUCCCCAGAGCAUUCUUCUGGCAAGAAAUGUCAACACUUUAAGCACAUGCCAGUGACCAUCUGUGUACAGAUGUCUAUAAGAGGCAUUUGUGGUUUGUCUCUUUCAGAUUAGAUUAAGGAUGCCCAUGAAGAAAGGGAUGAAACAACCUUUCCCUGUAGUCUGUGUCACUGCUUCCUCUAUAUUUUCUGAUCUAGGAGUAGCAGGUACCCUGGCUGUUUCUUGAAAUCAUACUUUAUUUUCCAAACAAGGGCAUUUGAUGCCUGAAAUUCCUGCUGGGGAAUUUAUUUCACUGACUUGUGUCUCCAAGAAAAAGGAAAUUGAAUGUAGCGGGGCCCAGAUUCAGCAUGAGAAACUGAUUCAGGAGUAGCCUUCUUAGUAGGAGGUGUCAAGGAAUCUUCCUAACAAAGCUCGCCUUUGCACCUUUGCGAUGGGAGAAAUCAAAGCACAGAAGUUGGAGCUGAGGAAACUGCCUCAUGGUCAGAAAGGGUGAUUCUGAGAUCAGAGGAUCUGUCACCUGUAUCACCCCCUGUAUCAUCCUCUGGUCCAGCCCUGUGAGAUCUGCCUGACUGUGAGAGAGGGAGAUAUGAGAGAGAGAGAAAAAUGUUUCUGUUUCGGUGGGAAUACAGCUUCGUGGCUGUGUAGUGGGUGAUCAUAUGGUUGCAGGAUGUCCCCAGGUGGCAGAAAGCUCAGCUCUAGGUGGCUUCUCAGAGGCCCUACAGAACCCAGCCCUGACUUGUUCUGAUUGCCUGUGGAGAGUUUCAGGUUCUAGAAAGUCCAUGAAGGGAAAUUUCAGUGGCAUUAAACACAAUGGAAAGACCAGGUUGGCAACCUCAGGAAGCUGGAGCAGAAUAGGACAAGGGCCAGUAUCUGAGCACUGACUCUGUGCCUGGAAAUGUUCUAAGUGUUUGUAUUAGGGAAGAGCAAAUCUGACUCCAUAUGAGUUCUGUUUCUCUCACUUUAACCUUGAUGCUCUGUUGUCUGGGCUUUGUCAUGCCGGCUCUGCCCCUUCUGUAAAAGAAUGUUGCCUAUAUCCUGAAAUAUACAGGGUAGCCUAUCUCAAGGCAAUGCCUUUAACAGUCUAACACUUUUCCGUUCAUACAGAGAUAAAAAGUUGCAGCACAGAGAAUAUUUGUUUUGCUGGAGGUUUAUAGGAACGUUGUGACCUGGCCUGUGUGGACAGUUGCACGAAAAAAGGAUUCCUACACCAACAAGUUUGCAACAACCAACCACCCCCCUCCUUCACCUGAUCUUUAAAAAUGCUUUGCUGAAACCCUUGGAGGCGUUCAGGAUCUUUGGCACAUGAGUCGCCCAUCUCCUAGCGAGGCCCAGCAAUAAACCUUCCUCUGCGCCAAACUCUGACCUUGUGUUUGGCUUCAUUGUGCAUUCGAGAACAUGUUAACUUUUACUCCUCAGAACAACUCUGUGAGUUAGAUCUCUUUAGUAUUCCCAUUUUUAUAGGCAAGACAAUGGAUGCACAGAGAGGUUAAGCAAUUCGACCAAUGUCACACAGCCAAAAGGGGCAGAGCCACUAUUUUAAACCAGGUAGAAGAGGAAAGUGAGUGACUUUUCUAGAAGCUGAGAAACAUUCAGGGUAAAUGUGAAGGAGGAAUUUUUGUUUCGAAGAGGCAUCUGGAGUGCUGAAAGAGCCAGGAAGAUUGUGAAGCCAUUUUUUUUUUUUUUUAAAGUCUUAAGUUAAUGUGGCCUGACAGCAUUGCUUUAGAAGCAGUAGAGCAGCAGAUACCUUUCUCAUACUUAGCCCCAUUGGGCGCUGCACUUGAAAUGAGCUCCAAGAGAACAGGAGCGGCAGGUGCAUGUCUCAGAUUCCCGGCAUCAACAGGCACUGGCCCAGGUUGCUACCACACCCACUUUCAUGUCUGUUUUAUAACUGAGGAAAUGGAUUCAGAGAAACUAAGCAACGUUCCUGAAGUCCCACAGCGACAAAGUUGCAGAAAUGGGAUUCAGACUGCAGGUCUGAUAAAUUCUGAAGGCCAUGUUCUUUUUAGAAUACCGUAUUGCACCUCUCCAAAGAGAUAUACC
rnacentral:lncRNA from 1 species